rnacentral:misc_RNA from 1 species
AGGCAGUCCAAACUUUCCACAAGACAUACAUGAAAAACACUAAGUUAAGAAUGUUGAGUAACCAAACUUUAUUGUGUCAUAGAAUUGGGAAAAUCCAAGAGAAUGAACCCCAGAAAGAACAAGAAAACUUGUAAUAGCUACCUUAUGACAGUCUUCUGAUUGUUCAAUCUCUAUCACCCAAAAUACAAGCUUAGCAAUGCAAUUAAGCUUUAAAGAAAGAAAAACAAAAUAUUCAUAAGGACGCUGUCCUUUUAAGGACGGUACUUUGGAAGUCCCCUUGCUGCCAUUAAAGUGGAUAAUUUUAAUAAGGAAGAAAAUACUAGCAAUCACAGAAAGUUCUAGACAACUUCCUAAAUAUCCCAUUAUUUUUACAUCUUUUAAAAUUGAGGCAUGCUCCCCUACUACUUUCAAUAGAGUAAUCAAUCAGCAAUAUAUUCUAUCAAUGGAUAAAAAAAUGGGAAAUUUACAAUUUAUCAAUCAGCCCUAUAUUAUACUUUAAUUCCUGAAUUUUGGAAAAUUAAAAAUUUAGCCCCUAGUUUUUG